AGCACGGGAGCAAUCCUGGUGGCGAGUGGCGAACGGGUGAGUAAUAUAUCGGAACGUGCCCAGUCGUGGGGGAUAACGCAGCGAAAGCUGUGCUAAUACCGCAUACGAUCUCUGGAUGAAAGCGGGGGACUCUGCAAAGGGCCUCGCGCGAUUGGAGCGGCCGAUAUCAGAUUAGCUAGUUGGUGGGGUAAAAGCCCACCAAGGCGACGAUCUGUAGCUGGUCUGAGAGGACGACCAGCCACACUGGAACUGAGACACGGUCCAGACUCCUACGGGAGGCAGCAGUGGGGAAUUUUGGACAAUGGGCGCAAGCCUGAUCCAGCAAUGCCGCGUGCAGGAUGAAGGCCUUCGGGUUGUAAACUGCUUUUGUACGGAACGAAACGGUCCUUUCUAAUAAAAGGGGCUAAUGACGGUACCGUAAGAAUAAGCACCGGCUAACUACGUGCCAGCAGCCGCGGUAAUACGUAGGGUGCGAGCGUUAAUCGGAAUUACUGGGCGUAAAGCGUGCGCAGGCGGUUAUAUAAGACAGAUGUGAAAUCCCCGGGCUCAACCUGGGCACUGCAUUUGUGACUGUAUAGCUAGAGUACGGUAGAGGGGGAUGGAAUUCCGCGUGUAGCAGUGAAAUGCGUAGAUAUGCGGAGGAACACCGAUGGCGAAGGCAAUCCCCUGGACCUGUACUGACGCUCAUGCACGAAAGCGUGGGGAGCAAACAGGAUUAGAUACCCUGGUAGUCCACGCCCUAAACGAUGUCAACUGGUUGUUGGGUCUUCACUGACUCAGUAACGAAGCUAACGCGUGAAGUUGACCG
rnacentral:rRNA from 1 species